rnacentral:rRNA from 1 species
AACGAACGCUGGCGGCAUGCCUAACACAUGCAAGUCGAACGAGACCUUCGGGUCUAGUGGCGCACGGGUGCGUAACGCGUGGGAACCUGCCCUUAGGUUCGGAAUAACUCCCCGAAAGGGGUGCUAAUACCGGCUAAUUUCUUCGGACCAAAGAUUUAUCGCCUUUGGAUGGGCCCGCGUUGGAUUAGCUAGUUGGUAGGGUAAAAGCCUACCAAGGCGACGAUCCAUAGCUGGUCUGAGAGGAUGAUCAGCCACACUGGGACUGAGACACGGCCCAGACUCCUACGGGAGGCAGCAGUGGGGAAUAUUGGACAAUGGGCGAAAGCCUGAUCCAGCAAUGCCGCGUGAGUGAUGAAGGCCUUAGGGUUGUAAAGCUCUUUUACCCGGGAUGAUAAUGACAGUACCGGGAGAAUAAGCUCCGGCUAACUCCGUG